GAAAUUUAUGACCUUUAAGUGAGAAUUCUGGUUUAGAAGCUUGGCUUUAUUUAAAUUUAGGGAAAAUAUCAUUUGUGAUUAAAUUAUUUAAUAUCAUUUAAUUCUUUUCUAGGAUCAGUCUGUGUUACAUUCUGUGUCUAUUCUGUAAACCAACUGUUCUUCGCGACGACUUUAUUUCGCGAUUUAUUGCAGAUGAACUGAAUUGCGACGACUAUUUUUCGCAACCACACUCGUUUUGAUAUAAAAUCCAUACGGCAAAGACUAGGUCGUGACCGAGAAACUCUCGCAAAUCUCGCAAAUAUUUUUAGCACAUGAAAAAAAAUGGUUUACAGUACUUUCAACAAAGGUGUUAUUCUUGGAUGUUUUUCUUGUUCACAUGCAUUCCACUACGGUUGUCAGUAAUGAGUUUAUUUUUAGGAAGUUUUCCCUCUCUACAUCUUUCAAAGAUAGUGCAAUAGAUUUAGCCUGCAUGCAUGCUGGCGAGUUCAAAAUAGUCUAAUAGUUUCUCCUGUGGGUUACAAUUCAUUGAAUGCAAUCAAAUAUUUUAAAACUUCAUUUAUAAAUGACCAUUUAAUUU
rnacentral:misc_RNA from 1 species